rfam:Columba livia unplaced genomic scaffold scaffold786, whole genome shotgun sequence.
GGGCCAGUGGCGUAACGGAUAACGCACCUGACUACGUAUCAGGAGGUUGCAGGUUCGACUCCUGCCUGGCUCU